rnacentral:lncRNA from 1 species
UAUUAAACCUGAUUUAGGCUCAGGAGUCCCCAGCAGUACUGAAAACAGGUCACCUUUAGAAAGAGAUGAGAGCAUCUCAUGAAGGCUGCAGGGUUUCAGUGCAGCAGGGUCUUCUCUUCUGCCUUAGAGGCAAGUCUGAGUUCAGAUGACAUCAAUCACCAACAGAGACAGUGAUCAACAGAAGGAAACAAGCAAGAAACAAGAGUUGCCCUUGACUUCUUGGCCUGAGAACUGGGCAGGACCAAAUGUUCCUGACAGAGAAGUAAUAGGAGCCACAAUUAAAUGCAUCAGCUUCAGAGACACUGGCUAAGUGUAAGAACUGAGAAACAAUCAUGGGUGUUUCAGGGCAGUGCCCCUGCAUGCCUUCCCACCCAUCCCUCAAUUGAUUCUGGGCAGAGGUUCACAUGGGUAGGGAGUAGGAGUGGAUUGAAUGGAAUAGGGAAGGUGAAAUAAAAGAGUUGUAAUACUGAAAGCACUACAGGAAUAUGCAAACACAAAAACAUUCUACCUUUGAGCCUAAAAUCCAACUGGACAUUUGGAAAGUCACUCCAUCAGCGGCCAAGGGACAACCAGAUCUACGCCAGCAGAGGGCGCUGAGGAGAAGGAGAGACGCUCGGCCGCAGAACAGUGUUACUGCCCAGAGCCCACGGGAAGGUGCCCUGAGAAGAGUGCAGGACAGAAGAAAUCAUGUUUACUUAGGGGCUGUUGAAAGCCAUGCAAUGUACACACAACAGUCUAAUGGCAAGGAAAGACCACAGGGCACCGGAGCAAGAGGAUAAGCGAGGCAAACAUGCCCGACACUCAGAGACUCUGCCAGGGAACUGGAGGCCUGUGAAUCCAGGGACCCCGCUGCUGGAGGUUCUGGGAAAGUCUAAUAUAUGGCCAUUCACCAUUGUAGACAGAGACUUCUGAUUGUGCCCAGUCAGUCUGGUAUUGCCGAGAAAACUUUAGUCACACUUUCAUACACAGCCCCUCUGGGGCAGAUCAGAAGAGCUCUCCCUCUCCAUCCAGGAAUGAAACAGGAAUGGAAUAACUGGCCAUGCGGUCCAAGAGAGAGGCAGCCAUGCAGGUGGCUGCAGGAAGAAAGAGUGAAGGCUCCUGUGUGAGGCACGUGGAGCAGAUGGAGCCAUCUGAAUAGGUUUGAGAAGCCACUUCCUAUUCUCUGGCCAAGGAGAAUUAUGGAUUGCAAUGGGGAUACUUGAGCCAGAGCAUGAACAAACAUUAGGAGACAAGCGAGCACUCAAAUGGAGCAGACAGUGAUCAUGGUGAAGAAUUAUCUUGAGAUUCACCGGGGUUUAUCAGAAAGUAAGAAACAUGAGCGGGCAACUGAUUUAAUUGCUAUAAACAAAAAUAAAUAGCAAAGAAGGAACCGGCACACUGAACCAGGACACGACACCACAACAAAAAGCUGGAAGUCGUCUUUCUGAUAUUUUAGUCUCUAACGUCGUGUGCAAGUCUAGAAAGUGUAUUUCUUGGUAUGAGUGAGUACGACGUAAUGGACCGCGUUCCUGCUCGUCUCCGCCCUCUAAACGUGUGGGCUUCCACGGUAAGCCCAACAUCCUCUUCAUUCAGGACCCGGCAGAAGAGUUAAGGGAAGGCGCCGCCAUUUCCCUGAGAAACUGCUUAUUACCAUGAGGACGUGGUUGACGGCGAUUGACAACCCUGCCCACCUGCAUAAACCUUGCCCCUAUUAACACCAGGGGAAAAACCUGUGGGGAGGCCCAUUCUCACUCAUCGCAGCGCGUCUCCAACGCUACUAGCGGACCGCCCUCUAUUCCCUAACCCUUGGGGAAGACCGCCAGGAGCCCCAUCACCCCAUCCAACAGUGCCAGCUCUGUGCUUGUACGCCGCCUAUUUCUUCUACACUCAUCCUCUGGCUGGUGGCGGCAGCAAAUUCCUCCGCAUCUUUGUGAAUGAGGUGAGUGCAAGGGAAGGAGGGAAGGCAAAUUUCUUUGACCAACUGGCAGACGGUCCUUUUUGUCGUCCGCCAGACACUCGCUGAGAUAACGACAUCAAAUAUCACCUGCGAGGCCAGUGAUCAGGUUGCGUAUCACGACAGGUCCCCUGGGGAAGGGUAGGAUGGUGCACAGAGAGACAGAGGGACUCAGCCGCCGCCUGCCUCCAUAUAAAUCUCAAAUUUCUAACUGCAGUGCUGACUUGAAAAGCACAACCUCAAAGGCCGACUAGCAGUCUUCCAGCGGAUGCAGCAUCGCAUGGCGCGGGUGGGGGUGGGGGUGGCUUGAGUGACUGCACAGAAAAGCACAAAGAGAACGAAAUGGGAAAUAGAAAAAGAACAUGUUCUUCUUAGAAAUCUUCUUGUUUGAAUGGGGAAGUCCCUGGUGCAGAAAUGCCUUUGGUGCUGGAGAUAAUCUGGGCCUGCAAGUGCUAAAUUGAUUCACUGUCCUGCAGACACCCAGGGGCUGAAUAUCAAGGAACAAAUGCAUUAAUCACGGCAGAGCCUGCGUGCCAAGGCGCAUAAAGACCACUGCUCCCAGCAGCGGCGAUAGCGUGAACCUUUCCACAGACCACACGCUCCGAAGUCGCUCUCUGAAGUCUUAUUACUGACAGUGUGUGUGGGUUGGGGGAAGGGAGGUGUUGUAUCUGACUUGCCCUGAAACAUGCAUUUAGAAAUAA